ensembl:lncRNA
UGACCAUGUGCAAUAUUUAUUUAUGGUGUGAAAACCAACGGUAGCAAAACAAAGAAGGGGACCAAUAUAUGUUGUUAUGACUGGGAGACCAUUGCGUUCAGACACGGUCGCUCUGGAAAUGCUUGCUUCUAAUGAUGUGCAAUACGUACAAAAGUGCUGAGAUUUAUGAAGCAGUUCAAGAUCAUUUAAUAUGGAUAGGUACAAUCAAACAACAGAAUCGUGCUGUGACAAAUGUGAGAUAAUGAGGCUCAAAUACCAGAAAGUGGCUCUCAACCGAUGAAAAAGACCAUACAUACAUCGUGGCUAACAUGCAAAGUGUGGUCCAAGCGUUGGGUAGCAGAUUCAGUGUUAAAGAGUAGAGCAGCUUGUUGUUACUCUCAUCACACAGCAGAAUGAGCAUCUCUCAAUGUCUGAGCCUCCAUAGCCGCAGGGCAGGGUGCCCUCAGGGGCCAGACAUCCACUUGGAAUUACUCUUGACACCCUCUCUCUCGCACUCUGUCUGUCUCUCUCUGACAAUCUACCUAAAGGGGCAAAAUACGGCUAAAUAUCAGUUCAAACAGGAGAGACGACCAAAGGAUUAGUCAACAUGUAUUAUGCCAGUUGAUGGGUUAAUGAGUGACACAGAAUUUAUUUGGUGCUUGAACUAAACGAGGGGAUUUGAGGUUGCGCUGGGUUUCCCCUGAUCGGCAGUCACAUCUCCUCGAGGAGUCCAGACUCUGGUGGCGGUGGAUGGAGGUUCUGCUGGAGUUGGGAGGAGUUGGCUGGAGAUGCAGGUGGGGUGCUGAAUCUGAGAAGGCGGACGGUGCCGGGAAGCCGCAGGGUUGCAUGCGACAGCAGCAGGAGGCUGGAGGCGGGGAUACGGCAUAUUUAAAGGAGACGGCAGCAGCUUUUGGGAUUUCACAGCACCUGAACCCAAUCCUGCACCGGCACUCCAGUGCAGGAUUGGUACUGUGGGCUCAGUAAACAAUGGUUCCUGUACGUUGGCCUCCACAAGGCGAUUUGCCUGCACUACAAAUAUCAAAAUACGGUGUGUGGGUGAGGGAAAUGCUCACGCUAAUGUCAUGAACAUCACAAAAUGCCGUUGUCGCGGCAACAAUAGCCAUGGUGGACCUCAUCCAAGUCCCAAUGCCGAAUGGUACAAUUCAUUUUUUUAGGUGACAGAAGGUCGACACAUAUGUUGCCUAAAAAAAUGAAUACGUUGUUGAGAGGAGCAGAAAUGGCUCUGUAAAGCUUGUGGCUUUGCACAAUGCGUGGGCUUUAAAGUGGAUCGGUCAUAUGUGAUUGGCGGGGUCAAUGACUUUAAUUCAGAGGUCACUAACUGGCAGACCGCUAAAAAAAGACGGUUGUGAUUUUAACGUGACAGCGCACUUUUCAACAGCGAAAGUCGAGCAUUUAUUCCAUAAUAGACAAACUCUUUUCUGUUCAUACUUCACACUGCAGCACUAAACCAGUGUCUCCUGCCUCGUGUCUGGUGUUUAGAAACCAUUGAAACGCCGUCAUGAGGCUCAACGAGCUCCUCCACGUGAGGAGGAGAACGAGCCUGAUGCAUCAAGAUCAGGUUUAACAACUAGAGCUUAAUUCUCCCACUUUCUCCCAAAAAGUGGAUAUAUAUAUAUAUGUAAAUAUGGCAAUAUGGGUCGUCGUGGCACAGGGGUUAGAGCGGGUGUGCCGGUUCGAGUCCCGACUGCCCCAUGUCUCAAGUCGAAGGGUCCCUGAGCAAGACACCUAACCCCUAAUUGCUCCCUGGGCAAAGAUGUGAAACGCCAUGGGUUUAAAGUGUAAUGUAAAAUAUAUAUUUAUAUUCUAUUAAACUGUUUAAUUGUUAAAAUGUGUGGCUGAGACUGUCAAGUCCAAAUGUGAAGCAGAACAUGUGAAAUUCAAGCUUAUCUUCCACUUAUUUUAUUUUUUCUGAAUCGAAGCACUUUAAUUGAACAUGCAGAAAUUUUCUAAUUUUAUUUUUUUUAAAUGCAGCCCUACUGUUAUUUAGUUAUUUGAGAGAACAUUAUUUAUAUUUGCAGUCACACAUUUAUGUUCAGUUCUUUGUUACAUGACAAUAAAUAUUGUCAAAAGAGUUUUAGAAUCGAAUUCAUUUGAUUUGUUAGUCGUGUAUUGAUUACAUGCAAAUGUUGAUACAGCUGUAUUCCUCUAUGUAAUCACGCUGAGUAUUGUGAUCUUCUGCAUUGUGAGCCUCUAGAAACGUUCUCUAACUGGACCUUUUCACAUUUUAGUUAAAUACCCAAAGUAUUGACGGUCUCAAUGCAAAACUAGAUGCUACACAGCAGCUGUGUAUGACACACACACAUGAGAUUCUGCGUGUACAAACAUAGUGUUUGAUUUUAAGGUUUAAUGUUUUGAUAAAAUGGAAAAGUCAGUGAGACAUAUCAGAUAGCGACUUUAGACAACAUGAACAUAAAAAUCACCCAAAGAAAAGGAGAAUUGAGUCAUUUAGAGUACACAGCUGGUGCAUGUAGGACAUGCGUUUGCCGUUUUGUGGGUUAGCGCCACCAGUUAAGAGAGAAGCUGCAAGCCUUUGCCUGUCAACUUUGACUUGAGCACAUGGUAGAAUAAUGUAUUAUGUGGGUCUUCAUGACAGAAGGACGAUAGAUAUAUAAUGAAGAGACAGCGCAACCACAUUCCCGGAUCGCGUUUCGGCCAUUGCUCUCCGUGUUGCUCUCGGGUUGAGGGUUCAUCUAUGAAAUUGUUCCGAUUCUAAUUUUAUUAAUAAUUCAUGGUACACCUGAAAAAAUAUCCAGGGCCUAGUCUUUGUUUAACACAUAGUAGGAAGGACAGCUUUCUGCAUUGGCCCCACAAGGCCUCGUUCCAUGUUUAAAACCCCGGGAUCUACGUCACAGUGAGACAUCGUGAUAGCGUCGGCUAGCCUGGACCCGCUGGCCUCAAGCAGAGAUGAGGAGUACAGGGGGAAACUAGUAACUGGUAAACUGCACAUCUUCAAACAUGCAGUCACUCCCCAACACUUUCAAAGUGAAAAUGAGUAAAUAUCCUCUUCAAUGGCUGACUGGCAUUGCAGCAAGGUGUGACGUUAUCAGAAAACAAGAUUCUGGCUCCUCGGCCCGGACUUCCCCCGCUGUGUUUUGGAAGUAGAUUACAACAAUUCAGAGGAACUUCAGGAGCCAGACCAGCUGUGUUAAAGCUCAAACCAUGAAGAGAGAUGAGCGAUGGUGGGCGCUCACAACGCUGCAGCUGAUCACCUCUCCACCAGCCAUCUGUUUACACCCAGCACGUUGCUCCUCCUUUUUUAUCCUUUCUGAAUGUGGAGGGGAGUCGCUAGGCUGACGGAGGAAGGUGGGGAAACCGUCCAUCAGAGCCAGGACACGGCCCAUAAGGAGCGGCGUGAAGCCCCCCAAGUUAUUAGCCCUGCUACCCGGCCCGUUUUGUCUUCAUCAAUUCUUAAACUCAUAAGACUCCCUGUCGCUCUCCUUUUCUAAAUUGUACCAUCUAUCAAGCCGGAUGCUCCUCUGCAUCUUCCUCUGUUCUGCUCGUUUUCUCUUUCAUGUUUCUCUCUCACUGCAGGACAUGGCGGUGCUGCGAAGGAUCAAAUCAUCCCCAGGCUUGGAGAAUAAGCUGUUUUUGUCUUGAGGCACCUCUCUGCAUACUUCCUUCAUUCCUUCUUUCUCUCCCCAAUACAGUAUCUCCUCUCCCUAAAGUAUCUUCCUUCCUCCAAACCCCUCAUCAUCUUACUUUAUCUCCUCCUCUCUAUCAUCCUCCGUGGCCUCCCCCUCCUCCUCGUCCCUCCCUACCCCUUCUUUCUUUUAUCUCCUCCGUCUCGCUGCUGCUCUCUCAUUGUGGCGGACCGGCUGGUCCUUCUUUCUUUCUCCCUCCUUCCCCUCUCUUUCUCUCCAUCUCUCUAAUUACGUUCAGAGACAAAGGCGUCUGAUUCUGCCUCCUCCCACUCAGAGCUGUCAGGCCUGGUGUAGGAGAGAGUUAAUUUCACACUUACUGCAUGCUUUAAUUAAAAAGGGGUGAGGUGGUGGGGGAGGGUGGGAGGGGGAAGAAAAAAACCAAGAUGGGAUACAUGCGCUCCGUCACACAUCAUACAAAGAGGUGGACUGAGUGUGCGCGCGUGUGCGUGUGUGUGUGUGAGUGUGUGUGUUGUAAACAAGCAUCACGUUUGUGGCUUGUGCCUACAGGUACGUGUGCGCCGAGCCAGGUGUGUGUGUGUGUGUGUGUGUGUGUGUGUGUGUGUGUGUGUGUGGUACCUCUUUGUGUAGACGUGCAGCCCAACACGCGCAGAGUUCAGCCCUUCACUUCUCCGGUGGAUUUUUUCCCGGGGGGCUUCAAUGAGAAAUCAAUAUCUUCUUCAGGGGUCUGCUGUCCCAUGCACACAAGCACCCCUUUGUACUUCUACCUUUAUGACUACACACAUUAACACUAAUACUUAUCCUAGAUUGAACCAUUAAGACAAAAUCCUAAACAGGUCUGUCCUGAGGGAAAGAAAAUCUCCUCACUUCCCACAAAGUGCUCCUCGCUGUGUCGGUCUGAAACUCUAAUUGUUCCUCACAAAGACGUUUGUAUAAGCACUCACACACACAAAAUGCCAUUACUACUUUGCAUUGGCAGCUGGAGUAGAAUUCAUUCACACUCUCACACACACACACGUGCAUAUGCAAAUACUAAACAUUUCACACAUUCUUGAGCAUGUGCAAAUACAAACAGCACCGGUAUGCUCAUAAGUGCAGAUGUGAAACUACACACACACUAUAUAGCACCGACUCUGCCCCUUCAAUAAUUCUCACAACAGCAGCACAUGAUAACCCUUGUUAAGCUGUUGAGAUAUGGAUGAUAGGUGAAACGCCCACAGUUGUCAAAGCAGGUACUUCAUCACCCUCGUCCCCUGCAUGCAGCGAGACGCUGAUCCAAGACGUGCACCAUCUCUGCCGGCCAGCCGUUGGAAAUCUUUGGUGACACAAUGUAAUAUGUUACCAACAACGAUGAGGGCCACAAUGAUGUGAUCAUUUUUCUUUUGUGGUUUUGUAGUGGACCACCGUGUCUCAAUAUUACAUUUCAGGCUGUUGUUGUUUGAGUAGAUAUAACAUUUCUGUGGAACACAUUCCAAACGCCUUUGUGUGUAAUCAAGGUACCACAUAUGAACAGAAGGAACGGGGGAAGGAAAAGGGGGCGUGGAGGCCCUGGGGCCACCUCGUGGGUUCAUUCGUCUGUGGUGACGGGGUCAUGGAGGUUGAGCAGCUGAGCAUUUAUCAGCAUCGUCAGCAAUGAAUGAAAAAGACUCCAUGGAAAUAUACUUAGAUGAAGCACAGCGAGUGAUGUAACGUGGAGGUGGAGGUGCUGAGGCAAAGCGAGGUCCACUGCAGUCGGUGUUAUUUCCAUGUGGGGCGUUUCAUCUUCAUUAAUAAUAUCGUUCUGCAGAGGAGAUCCGCUUCACACGUGGACAACAGCUGCAACAGCACACCCCCAUAACUUACAUAUAGCCCUGAACCCGGCAUCCGGCAGAUAUUUGAAUAAGCUCAGGGAGAGGCGUGCUGAUUCCAAUUAGCAGUCUGUUGUUUCACACUGUGGGCGAUGGAGCUUGUUAUUCCUCGCAUGGAGAGAGUCGGAGGAGCACCGCUCUGCGGCUCCCACAGCGCAAUCAGCCUCUAUGACUCUUUGGUACGCACCAAGCACUGAUUGCCACAUUCAUGGCACCAUUCGCACUCCCCGGGGUGCUGCAGAGGUGCAUUUGUUAAAGAACUGUCGUGGUCACCUGUGGGAAGAGGUACAAAUGGCCCGAGUCCAGAGCCGAUGUCACACCGCCACCCGCAGCUAUCAGCCAUAAUGAACCCGGCAUAGAAAGAUAGAAUGAUCACAAUAUCUCCUGCAGUCAUAAUUUAUGGUAUGCGUGCUAAUGCUGUAUUAAAGGCGGUAAGGAUAUGCCUUGAUUAAAAACUAAGGGAUUACAAUGGAGGAUUCGAUUUCAGGCUGACGGCGCGGACUCUUUGUUUUGCUCUCUGCUUGUUUCAUGCAUCAAGGGAUUUAGAGACAGUCCAGGUGCUUCAUCCAGAGGGGCUUGAUUUCAUAUAAUUAUGUUUGGGUGGGCCUGGUUUCUCCUCAGGGAAUUAGUUCUACUGAACAAGUACACAAGCCGCUUUUAUCUGUACAUUUCUAUAUGUGAUGUUAUUAUUUGACAUAUUUCCAGUUUAUUCCCACAAAUUCAAGCGGCUCAGCCUAGUUAAGAGCAAAAGGCUAACACUGAUGACAGCAAACAUCAGCAAUGAAAUCUGAAUAACCCACCCAUCACAAUGUUAAAUUAAACCCCAGAACCUAAAAUGUUACUACAUCAUUGAUAAUAGUUAACUUCAUGGUCUUUAAACGGCAAUAACAAGCGUUACCGGUUUGGAAACAUAAAAGUUGACUGGUGAGUAUAGAUUUGGGAUGAAAAUACCCGAAUGUUCCGGCGAUGAUCUGCAUCCAUACACAGCGAACACACCUGCCUCCCAGCCUCAGGUCCAGCUUUGUUCUUGGGCUCAUUCAAAUGAACAGAAAAGGAAGAUGAAUUCUGAAAUUUUGUAUUUCACAACUUAAUUGUUGACGUAAUGAUUUAGAGUAGGAAUAUUUAAGUGCUUCACUUUAAAUCAUUUCCAACUCAACAGUAAUCUGGAGGGAAUUGUCACUUCACUAAAUGUAUUGAAUAAUUAUUUGUUAUCACAUUGUUGAUUCAGAUUAGAUAUCCAACCCAUAAUGUAUAAUUACAAUUCAAGAUAUAAUAUCCCACAGUGUGCAAAGCCAUUGAAAUAAGCCCCACCUUUUCAAGCUUUAAAAUGAAAGUGAUGUACACAAUAAUGCACCAAUAGUAAAUGACAGGAUGAUGUUAUUCAUGAUGAGUACUUUUACUUAUGGUACAUUUUGGUGCUUUAUUGCUUAUUUAGACCUGAAAAGGUAAAGCAUGUAAAUAAUGUAACAUGCAAGCAGAAUGAGGGACAGGAGGAGGCUGUGGGAAGGGAAGGAAUAUAAAAAGGAAGCUAGGGAAGUAAUAAUAGAAAGGGGAGUGCAGCAGUGAUAAAGGCGCGGAGGGAGGAAUGAAUGCCCUGAUGGAUGGAGGAAGACAAGCGGAUGGAUGGGCAGCAGGACAAAUGGUGAAGGAGGAGGACGUGUUGACGGGAUGGACAGGGGGUAGACGGGAAGAGGGAAGUAUUUAAGGCAGGAUAGACAGAUGCAUGGAUGAUUCAGGGGUAAUGGAACGAUAAGCUAAAGGAUUACAAUUUUACAGUCUACUGACAGUGGAGUUAGACACAUAUGUAACAGUCAAAACGUCUAACUUUAACAAAGGCCAACAGAGAGACAAAACAGAUGUUCAAAGCAGUGCUGCCUUUGAAUUGGGCUGCAAUACGGAACAGAAAAAGAUGUUAUUGGCCACCAAAUACGCAAUUGUAAAAUGAAGCAUUGUUGGACACAAAAAACUAAAUCCAUUAGAGUAUAAAAUGCCGUACUUUAAAAACAUUAAAAACACGUAUGAGUUAUUUGGUUGGAACAUGCCUUUCUGCAAUGUCUCCAAGAUCAUUUCCAGUUUUGGAAGCCAACCUUUUAAUGUGUUUUUUGUUAGACGUGACUGAGGGGGUAGGACAGAGGUCGGCUCACUUUCACACAGGCUCACAGUUACUUUUAUACGUUUAUGUUUCUUUUAGCCACACUGGAACCAAACCAUGUUCAGUCACCGCUCUGUUCCAACUAUGCUCAAGAACUACCUCCAGAACAUCUGGAUGGACAAAUAAGUCCAUUACGUUGGUCAAAUGCCUCAGCUGCACAUUAUUGGUAGCAUGCUAGCUUGUUAAACUACAAUGUCAAUGUUGGCAUACUGUAUAUUGCAACUGCUAAAGAUCGUCAAAUUGACAUGUUCACAUGACUUUGUGUGUUUAUCGGUAUGCUGGUGUUAUUAUUUAGCUCAACGUACUUAUGUGCUUGAAGGAGCACUGAUUGGGUCUCAAGUGUUUUGGAGAAGCAACAAUGUCCUUCAAAGAACAUAAAAUGCAAAGCAUUUCUUUUGGUCUGGACAGAAGGUCCAAUAAAAGACUCAAGAUCUGCUUUGUUUGUCUCCUGUCCACAGUGCAAACUACUGAAAAAUCAUAAUUAACAUAACAAGUAAGGGCAGUAGAGUGCCACAUGGACGAAGACCGAGGCCUGAUCAACUUCACUAAGGUCCCCUGGACGACGGUGUCUAACAAUGUUAUAUACAAGAAUAAACUUCAACAGAUGUUCAGUUGUUUACUAGAUUUCAAAACAAAUCAUGCUUGUAAAAUCAUUUGUAUGCCUCACUGUGGUUGAUCCUGAGGGAAAAUGAAUUAUUAUACAUAAAAAUAUAAUUCUGCAUUUCUGUUUUUUGACAAAUAAAAAUAAUCAAGGGUUCUACUUGGACCCAAAAGUUAUGAUUAAUUGCCAGUAUGCUUUGAGUACUUUGGCUAACCGUGUCAUGUUAACCAAAGUGGAAUGAGAGAAAUGAAUGCAGAGAGGAAAGCAGAGGUCUACACGGAGGGAAUGUCCAGAGGCUUAAUGCACCCUGAAUGCUAUUCGACAUUACUGAUGCGAGCGGGUCGCUCCAAAUCGCUCCCCUCGGGUUCAGAGGAGCGUUGCGGCGCUGGAAGACCCCAUGGCUCAUUGAAAGGGGUCAGAGGCGAGGCGCUCUGCUCCAUUUAGCAGCCUACUCAUGAUGGAUGAAUGGAGGGAGGGGAGGGUGGAGGGGUGGAGCGUCGCCCAACUGAGAGCGUGGGGAACAGGGCGCCACCAGAGACCUCCUCUUGGAGCGGUGAGCGGUGGUAAUGGCUGAUAAUGGGAACAGGCGCAGGUGGAGUCAAAAGCGAAUGUGGUGUUUUAGGUCAGCAUUCACACACUUUUGGCAUCUGUGUUGUAGAAGCCUCGUGUCGAAGAAAAUGGGAGAGGAUUAGUUUACAUGUCUUAAAGAUAUUUGAAAUUAUAUAAUAUGUGACUGAGGACAUUAUUUGUAAUUAAGAUCUGUCAGCUCCAAUAAUUGACAUUUUGUUGGCUGUUUUACGAAUUCUAAUAUGUCUAUUCAUGUCAUGAUUGCUGAAACCAAGGAGGAUCAAAAGCUAAAUUUCCCUAAAUUCUUCAUUGGAAGCCAAUAGCUAAAUUUAGUUCAGAAAGCGAGAUACUUGGGUCACAUGAUGCAGAGUGACCUAAGUGACGAUGAUGAUGUGCAGCGCUAGUGUUGCACACUGUGCAAAAGCAAAAAGAGCUCUGUUUACUGUCCUCCGCUCUAUCCAGCUUGUGGUGCAGCUGCAGCAGAGCAAAGAUAAAAAAAAGCUUCAGGUGGUAUUUAAUGAUACUUUUAGAAUCUUGCUUAGGCUCCAAAGAUGGACUCAAGUCAUGUUUGUGACUGGUGAUGUGCUCACAUUUCAUGCUGUCUUGAGGAAUUGAAUUUACAAAUCGAAAUGUUGAUUAAAUGAACCUGUUAAUGUAAUCAUGAAGGCUUUAACUGAGCCUAUACACAGAGUGAUGCAAGGUGUUGACCUUUUUAUUAUUGCCAACAAUAUGCUUUGUACUGCAUUGUGUUUUUGUUUCUUUUUCAUUUUGUAUGGACUCCUGAGUCUGGAAAUAAACACAAAUCAUUUAUAAUAGAUGUUACAAAUAUAUUAACUCAUAUACAUACACAAUCCCUACAGAUAUGGGCCCUCUAUUUAUCACUACCAUGUACCAAGAAGUGUGGGAGAUCCUCAAUAGAAUGAUCCAUUAUAGGGUAGUGUGGGAGAGCACAAAGCCCUGGGCCGACCAAUAGUUUUUUUUAUAUGUCCUGUUGAAGGACGCUCCACCUCGCUAGAAUCGCAGAUGCCUUUGACACUGACAGAAGCCAGCAACAGGUACAUGUCUGUCUUUGCCUGCCUUUCUCACCUUAUUAUUUUAGUUUAAUCAGCUUCCCAGGUGAGGCAUAGAGCAGUAUAUAUGUACACUCUAAAAAAAUUCACCGUAAAUAAAUGGUAUUUUACUGGCAGCAAGGACGCCAGGAAUUUACCGUUAUUUUACGGUAUAAUACUGUAAAUGGUUUUUACACUAUGUUACCGUAAAAUGGAUUACUGUAUGUUAUCAUAAACUUGAACGAAUUUUACUGUGAAUUUACUGGCAGUCAACGCUAGUAACUUACUGUUUUAUUUACAGUGCCCUACCAUAAUUUACGGUAUGUUGUGGUAUAUUGGAUUACAGUUUGUUACCAUACGAUUACUGUCUUUGUCACGGUGUGGUGCACUUCCUGUCUUAUUUUGUAGUUUUCUGCCACUCGUGCCCCCGGGUAACUUCACUUCCUGCCUGGUCCUGUCAUCCCCUUUGAUUGUUGGAAUGUUUCCACCUGUGUCCAAUCACCUGCACCUCCCUUGUGUAUUUAAGCAGUGUGUGUUGUUUGUCACUUGUGGCGUCAUUGUCCUUUGUCACGGAUGUCCCUGUCUACCAUCUGGAUGUUCCCCGUUACUGCCUCCCUUUUUGUCCCCGUUUCGUGUAUGUGUUUUUGCCUGUUGGCCUUUUACUUUGUGGAGUUUUUUUGACUAUUAAAGUCUUUUUCGUUAAAGUCUGCGUUUGAGUCCUGCCUUCCUACCCAACCCUGACAGUUUUGUGUUAUAAAUACCAGAAUGUUACCGUAUACUUUUGCAUUUAAUUCCCCACAAAUUAAAGAAAGACAAACAAAAUAAUUUCGGUCAUAGUGGUUGGAGUUUGUUAGAUGCCUUUAAGACAAAAAUGUUAGGCCUUUGUAACAAAGAACAAAACAUAAAAUAUGCAGCAUGUAUACAAUAAUAAAAAAAUGAAUCAUAAAAUCAUUGGGAACAAGGUAAACUAACUGCAACAAUACGCUAUGGAACACUUUCAAUUGACCGCAGCAAACGGCUGGCGUCCUUAAUCCAGUGCCUCUGUAAAACAAACCAAAAUUGAAUAUUUAGAAACACUGUCAUUGGUGAAAUAUUAAAAUGACAAAGUUGAGGAAGACAACAAGAUGUAAGGAAGGAGAAUGUUAAUCAUGUUAGGCAAAUAACACUUACCAACGUUACUUGGAGAGACGAGGCAAUGAGAAACUCCUCCGAUGUUGAACUGACAGGUGUUCUGGAUGAACUGAGAUUACGCGUCUGACGUCACGUGUACGAGCAGUCCGUCACGAUUAACACUCAAAUGACUUUUAGGCAAUGAACACUUUGAAUAAUACAAAUAUUCCUAAUCUUUACAUUCCGGCUAAUGAAAUGUGCAGCACAAGGUUGGCGGUUCGAAUCCUGGCUGCUCCCUGUGCCAAGUUGAAGUGUCCCUGAGCAAGACACCUAAACCCCAAUUACUCCACAUAAAAUGAUGUCAAACCAUGGGCGUUUUGAAUAAAAGUGACAGCUACAUAUAGUAAUGUCCUGUAAGUCAAAGUCAUCAUCGUAUCUCAUGAGAUACUAUCUCAUUAUGAUUACUUACAGGACCUGUUUUUCAGUGGCUGACAUGGGCUUCCAUACAUUAACCUACAAAUUUGAAUUACGGUAGUCUGCUAUUAUUGUAAAUUGACAGCUUUAACUGUUUAUUCAUGACAUUGGCUGUUAAUUUACAAGCAAGGGAUGGAAAUUUAACUGUAUGUUACAGUUAUUAUGACAUACUGUAAGAUACCGAAAUGCACCGUAAAUUUACAGCAAUUUGUUACAGUGUAUGGACCAACAUCUCUGAAGAAUGUUUCCAACCUCUUGUUGAAAGUAUGGCAGAAGAAUUAUAAAAGGGGCUCCAACCCUUUACUACCAAGGUGUACCUAUAAAGUGGCCAGUGAGUGUACAUUAGGGCAGCGGUCCCCAACCUUUUUUGCCUCACAGGCUGUUUUUAUGUUUGACAAUAUUUCCUGUCUUGAAGGUGUGGGGGAUAAACACAACAAAAUAACCAACCGACGGGGGGAAGGUAGUAGUAGUGGCUGCGCACAAAAACGCUUGAAUGAUGCUUGGAAUUUGAAAUUUGUCAAGAAGGAUUAGGACAUGGGAUUGGGAAAAAAUCCAGUCGUUUUUUUCAAAAUAAAAUAUUUUUCAGAAAAAACUUAAAUGGAAAAAAUCCUCAAUUUGUCUGGGGUUUUUUUCUGUCUGCAGCCUGGUACCAAGACCAAGUGGCCCGGUGGUUGGGGACCUUUGCAUUAGGAAACCUUUUUUCCAAAAUUUACUUGUUGAAAUGCAAAUGAAGUUGCUUUACACUUAGCGUUCCAGCCCACUUCACAUGGCUUAGCAAGUGACAACUUUCUGGAUGUGACUCUCAGACGCCAUUCUUCAAUCAUGGCCGCCAUAGACGUGGCAUUGUGAAGCAGCUGUACCCUCCAGUGCCUCUCAGCAGCCCAUGCAUUUGGCUGAAAUAUUCAGCACAGCUCCCAGCGUUACCUUGCAUGUAUAAUUACCGGAUGUGCUGCCUGCCGCUGAUAACUCUCCCAAACAAUGUUUGAAGGGGUAAGGCGGCGAUGAAUUCCCAAUGAAGUGUGAAAAAGACUGAUUAAAAUUGCCGUGGUCAAAAGCCAGCGCACCAGUGUGUUCUGCUCUCGCCGACCAGGGGAGAUGGGGAGACUCUCUGCAGUUUUUGCACUGUGUUUGGGAUUGGUUUCUGGUUUCUAUUUUGAUCCACAGUAAAAAAAAAUCAUAUUGGCAUAUUAGUGUUUUUGCCAAGCUUGUCAUGAUUUAGAAUAAAUUAAAAGAAAGCCGAAACAUUAUUCAAUCUCGAGCAGUUCUAUUCCGUUAUUGUUUGGCUGUACAGCAUAAAUCCCCAAAUUCAGAGAGGUUCACAGAUUCACGUGUGCCUGAUUUAUUUAUUUUAGAAAAUAACAGAAAGGUAACAAAGCAACCCCUGGUGCUAAAAGCAACCAUACAUUGUUGUUUGAGGGCAAUUUUGAAUCUCUCUUUGUCUCUUUGUAUGUUUCUGAUUGUGUGUAUAUAUA